GACGAACGCUGGCGGCGUGCCUAAUACAUGCAAGUUGAGCGCUGAAGGUUGUUACUUGUACCAACUGGAUGAGCAGCGAACGGGUGAGUAACGCGUGGGGAAUCUGCCUUUGAGCGGGGGACAACAUUUGGAAACGAAUGCUAAUACCGCAUAAAAACUUUAAACUCAAGUUUUAAGUUUGAAAGAUGCAAUUGCAUCACUCAAAGAUGAUCCCGCGUUGUAUUAGCUAGUUGGUGAGGUAAAGGCUCACCAAGGCGAUGAUACAUAGCCGACCUGAGAGGGUGAUCGGCCACAUUGGGACUGAGACACGGCCCAAACUCCUACGGGAGGCAGCAGUAGGGAAUCUUCGGCAAUGGACGAAAGUCUGACCGAGCAACGCCGCGUGAGUGAAGAAGGUUUUCGGAUCGUAAAACUCUGUUGGUAGAGAAGAACGUUGGUGAGAGUGGAAAGCUCAUCAAGUGACGGUAACUACCCAGAAAGGGACGGCUAACUACGUG
rnacentral:rRNA from 1 species